GCCUGUUCGAGCGUCAUUAUAACCCUCAAGCCUGGCUUGGUGUUGGAGCAUGCGUCCGCAGCUCUUAAAAUCAGUGGCAGUGCCUAGUUGGGCUCUAAGCGUAGUAAUACUCCUCGCUAUAGGACCCGCUGGAUACGCGCCAGAACCCCAAAUUUUCUAUGGUUGACCUCGGAUCAGGUAGGGAUACCCGCUGAACUUAA
rnacentral:misc_RNA from 1 species